rnacentral:rRNA from 1 species
GACGUAGGGUGCAAGCGUUGUCCGGAUUUAUUGGGCGUAAAGAGCUCGUAGGCGGCUCGUCGCGUCGACUGUGAAAACUCGGGGCUUAACCCCGGGCCUGCAGUGGGUACGGGCAGACUAGAGUGCGGUAGGGGAGACUGGAAUUCCUGGUGUAGCGGUGAAAUGCGCAGAUAUCAGGAGGAACACCGGUGGCGAAGGCGGGUCUCUGGGCCGUAACUGACGCUGAGGAGCGAAAGCGUGGGGAGCGAACAGG